GAUGAACGCUGGCGGCGUGCCUAAUACAUGCAAGUCGAACGCUUUGUCUUUACUUGAUAUGAAGAGCUUGCUCUGAUUUGAUUUUAUCUGACAAAGAGUGGCGAACGGGUGAGUAACACGUGGGUAACCUACCUCUUAGCAGGGGAUAACAUUUGGAAACAAGUGCUAAUACCGUAUAACACUAACAACCGCAUGGUUGUUAGUUGAAAGAUGGUUCUGCUAUCACUAAGAGAUGGACCCGCGGUGCAUUUGCUAGUUGGUAAGGUAAUGGCUUACCAAGGCGAUGAUGCGUAGCCGAGUGGAGAGACUGAUAGGCCACAAUGGGACUGAGACACGGCCAAUACUCCUACGGGAGGCCGCAGUAGGGAAUCUUCCGCAAUGGGCGCGAGCCUGAUGGAGCAACGCCGCGUGUGUGAUGAAGGGUUUCGGCUCGUAAAACACUGUUAUAAGAGAAGAACGACAUUGAGAGUAACUGUUCAGUGUGUGACGGUAUCUUAUCAGAAAGGAACGGCUAAAUACGUG
rnacentral:rRNA from 1 species